GCGGCCGUAGUAUAGGGGUAGUACGGGACCUUGCCAAGGUCCAGGCGUGGGUUCGAGUCCCAUCGGCCGCUCCA
rnacentral:tRNA from 1 species